rnacentral:rRNA from 1 species
UCUUGUUAUGAUGAAGCAUCCAGUGGAAUGUGAUACUUGGUGUGAAUUGCAAAUAUCGUGAAUCAUUGAUUUUUUUAACGAAUUUUUAAUUUGAGGCCUCAGUCAAGAGCACAUAUAUUUAGGCGUCA